UACGAAGGGGGCUAGCGUUGCUCGGAAUCACUGGGCGUAAAGCGCACGUAGGCGGACUCUUAAGUCGGUGGUGAAAUCCUGGAGCUCAACUCCAGAACUGCCUUCGAUACUGGCGAUCUUGAGUCUGGGAGAGGUGAGUGGAACUCCGAGUGUAGAGGUGAAAUUCGUAGAUAUUCGGAAGAACACCAGUGGCGAAGGCGGCUCACUGGCCCGGUACUGACGCUGAGGUGCGAAAGCGUGGGGAGCAAACAGG
rnacentral:rRNA from 1 species